rnacentral:rRNA from 1 species
GACGAACGCUGGCGGCGUGCUUAACACAUGCAAGUCGAACGGUAAGGCCCUUCGGGGUACACGAGUGGCGAACGGGUGAGUAACACGUGGGUGAUCUGCCCUGCACUUCGGGAUAAGCCUGGGAAACUGGGUCUAAUACCGGAUAGGACCACUGCCUGCAUGGGUGGUGGUGGAAAGCUUUUGCGGUGUGGGAUGGGCCCGGGGCCUAUCAGCUUGUUGGUGGGGUGGUGGCCUACCAAGGCGACGACCGGUAGCCGGCCUGAGAGGGUGACCGGCCACACUGGGACUGGGAUACGACCCAGACUCCUACGGGAGGCAGGAGUGGGGAAUGUUGCACAAUGGGCGCAAGCCUGAUGCAGCGACGCCGCGUGGGGGAUGCCGGCCUUCGGGUUGUAAACCUCUUUCAGCACCGACGAAGCGCAAGUGACGGUAGGUGCAGAAGAAGGACCGGCCAACUACGUGCCAGCCGCCGCAGUAA